rnacentral:rRNA from 1 species
AGAGUUUGAUCGUGGCUCAGGGUAAACGCUGGCGAUGUGCCUAAGACAUGCAAGUCGAACGAUUUUUAUGGUCUUCACUAAGGAAUGCUCUAUUCUUUAGUGAAGAUCGUGAGAGUAGUGGCGAACGGGUGAGUAAUGAGUACGAACGUACUCUCAAGCGGAACAUAGCCCACCGAAAGGUGGGGUAAUUUUCCAUAGUCUCGCAAGAGUAAAGAUGCAAAUCACUUGAGAAGCGGCGUACUUGCCACCAGCUAGUUGGUAGGGUAACGGCCUACCAAGGCUAUAACGGCUAACGGCUCUUAGCGGAGAGUCCGUCACAAUGGGACUGAGACACGGCCCAUACUUCUACGGAAGGCAGCAGUUAGGAAUCUUGCGCAAUGGACGAAAGUCUGACGCAGCGACAUCGCGUGAAGGAUGAAGGCCCUCGGGUCGUAAACUUCUUUUAUUUUCUCAUGAAGAGCUUUUGAAUAAGCAACUACUAACUACGUGCCAGCAGUCGCGGUAAUACGUAGGUUGCAAGCGUUACCCGGUUUUAUUGGGCGUAAAGCGUCUGUAGGUGGUUUGAUAAGUCUUGUUUCAAAGACCCCAGCUUAACUGGGGGAAGGGGCAAGAUACUGUCAGACUAGAGUUAUAUCGGGGUUACUGGAAUUUUUAGUGUAGGGGUAAAAUCCGUGGAUACUAAAAAGAACACCAAGCGCGAAGGCGGGUAACCAGGUAUAUACUGACACUCAGAGACGAAAGCUAGGGUAGCCAAUCAGAUUAGAGACCUGAGUAGUCCUAGCCGUAAACUAUGUAUGUUAAUUUUCUGUCCCUUUGGGAUGGGAGAUGUAAGCUAACGCGUUAAACAUACCGCCUGGGGAGUAUAGCCGCAAGGCCGAAACUCAAACGAAUUGGCGGGGAGGCGCACAACCAGUGGAGCAUGUGGUUUAAUUCGAUACGAAGCGAUGAACCUUACCUGGGCUUGAAAUGUACCUGCAAACCUCCAGAAACGGAGGAAUCCUUAGAGGGUGGUACACAGCUGUUGCAUGGCUGUCGUCAGCUCGUGACGUGAGUUGUUCUCUUAAGUGAGGUAACGAGCGCAACCCCCAUCCGGUGUUAUUGUGUCACCGGAGACUGCCUAGCAUUAUUUUGUUAGGAGGAAGGAGGGGACGACGUCAAGUCAUCAUGAUGCUUAUGUCCAGGGCUACACACAUCCUACAAUGGAGAGUACAAUGGGUCGCGAAACCGCGAGGUGGAGCCAAUCCCACAAAACUUUCCUCAGUUGGGAUUGCAGGCUGAAACUCGCCUGCAUGAACCCGGAAUUGGUAGUAAUCGCGCAUCAGCAGCGCGCGGUGAAUACGUUCUCGCCUCUUGCACACACUGCCCGUCAAAUCAGCAAAGUUGGGGGCACCCGAAGCUUGGCCUUUGGCCGAAUCAAGGUGAAUUCAGCGAUGAGGGUUAAGUCGUAACAAGGUAUCUGUACUGGAAGGUGC